rnacentral:rRNA from 1 species
AGUGAACGCUGGCGGCGUGCCUAAUACAUGCAAGUCGAACGGAGGGGCUCACGGGUGAGUAAUGUAUAGCUAAUCUGCACUACACCAUAGGACAACAGUUGGAAACGACUGCUAAUACUCUAUAGUGUAGGAUGUGGCUAUAUUGUAUCAGCUGGUUGGUGAGGUAAUGGCUCACCAAGGCUAUGACGCAUAACUGGUCUGAGAGGAUGAUCAGUCUCACGGGAACUGAGCCACGGUACAGACUCCUUCGGGAGGCAGCAGUAGGGACUAUUGCUCAAUGGGGGGAACCCGGAAGCGGCAUCGCCGCGUGGAGGAUGACACUUUUCGGAGCGUACGCUCCUUUUGUUAGGGGAGCGGUACCUAAAGAAUAAGCACCGGCUAACUCCGUGCCAGCAGCCGCGGUAAUAC